AGGCGCGUAGCUCAGUUGGUUAGAGCGCUACCUUGACACGGUAGAGGUCGCUGGUUCGAAUCCAGUCGUGCCUACCA
rnacentral:tRNA from 1 species